GCCGGGCGGCGAGGAGAACGCAGAAGACACGCGGGUAUCCUCAGACUGCGAGCGCGGGUUCCGAGAUGCCGGCAAACGGGCGGGAGGGGCCGCUUCCGGGAGCCCCGCCUCUCUGGCCACGCCCCUAGCUCGCCGCCGACUAGUCACAGGCCGGCACUGCCACCCGGAGGGGCGGGACCUCUCCAAGGACUGCCCACAUCGUCCUUGCCGGCCUGGAUCAAUAGAGUGGGCGGGGCGAUUCCGGCUCAGCCUGGGGCCGAUUCAAACUGAGGGAGGCAGGGAUUGGCUGAAUCGGGCCAAACAGAGGAAAUCGCGCCGCUAUAGGCAGAAGUCAUGUGAUUGGCAGGCGGGAGGUCCCGCGUCCAGUUUCCAUUGAGUAACUCUGUUUGGACUUCAGAAUCGUAAGGAUGGGAGGAGAGGUCGUGUCUUCGGUGGGAAAUAGGAUUUGUGUGAGGAGUAAUUGUGAGCUGCAUCUCAAACCAGUUUGCGCCCGUGGGUGGAAUUAUAAAUUAAUUGGCCAACAGCUCAAGCUGAAAGCACUAGGGAUCCGCAGGAGGCCGGGUUUUGAUAAUCUAGCUCCCUAAACCAAUAAACUAGCUAAAUUUAAUAGGAUAAUAUUCGUGAUACUGCUGAUUGAACGACAACGAAUUUCCAAUGGAAGUUAAUAAAGACUCAGUGAUCGGAGCACUCUGUAGCGACAGGCAUACCUUUAGACCAAUGAUCAAGUCGAUCCCGGUAAGUGGGCGUGCUCUGUAGCCGAGCGACAGGUCCAAAGAACCAGUGAGUGUCCGGAUAUUGAGCCGCGACCAACCGGGACUGCGGGUUCCCCCGGAGCAGCGCUGGGAGGCGGGAAGAGGGGAAGUGGGCGGAUCUCCGCACACCCGAGCGGAAGAGGCAGAUUCAGGAAGCCAUUACGCCGCUGGCUGGCAGCGGCUGGGCCGGUCGGCGCCGGGCCCUACGCACUUUGCGUAACGGGGGGGUUACCAAAGGCCUGGUACUUGGCCUUGGCCAACUCGGCCUAUCCCAUGUAGGGGGGUGUGCGAGGGGCGAGGCUGAGGAAGAAGAGAAGGGAAAUUGGGCGGUUGAAGGGAUUAUAAUUUCUUUAAAAAGAAGGGUAGGGAGAGGCCAUGGCCGUCCCAGCCAAGAAGAGGAAGAUGAACUUCUCUGAGCGAGAGGUGGAGAUCAUCGUGGAGGAGCUGGAACUGAAGAAGCACCUGCUGGUGAACCACUUCAACGCCGGGGUCCCGCUGGCUGCCAAGAGCGCGGCCUGGCACGGCAUCCUGAGGAGGGUGAACGCUGUGGCCACCUGCCGCAGGGAGCUGCCCGAGGUCAAGAAGAAGUGGUCUGAUCUCAAGACCGAGGUCCGUCGCAAGGUUGCCCAAGUCCGGGCGGCUGUGGAGGGUGGCGAGGCCCCAGGGCCCAAUGAGGAAGAUGGAGCUGGCGGGCCAGGGCCAGGUGGUAGCAGUAGUGGCGGUGGCCCAGCGGUAGCCCCCGUCCUGCUCACCCCCAUGCAACAGCGCAUCUGCAAUCUGCUGGGUGAGGCCACCAUCAUCAGCCUGCCCAGUGCCACAGAGAUCCACCCUGUGGCCCUUGGACCCACGGCUACUGCAGCCGCAGCCACGGUCACCCUGACACAGAUCCCCACAGAGACCACCUACCACACGCUGGAGGAGGGGGUGGUCGAGUACUGCACCGCUGAGGCCCCCCCGCCCCUGCCAGCGGAGGCCCCUGUGGAGAUGAUCGCCCAGCAUGCUGACCCCUCAGUCAAGCCACAGGCACUCAAGAGCCGCAUUGCCCUCAACUCAGCCAAGCUGAUCCAGGAGCAGCGGGUCACCAACCUGCACGUGAAGGAGAUCGCCCAGCACCUGGAGCAGCAGAACGACCUGCUGCAGAUGAUCCGCCGCUCACAGGAGGUGCAGGCCUGCGCCCAGGAGCGCCAGGCUCAGGCCAUGGAGGGCACGCAGGCGGCCCUGAGCGUCCUCAUCCAAAUCCUCCGGCCCAUGAUCAAAGAUUUCCGCCGCUACCUGCAGAGCAACACAUCCAACCCUGCCCCCGCCUCUGACCCUGGACAGAUGGCCCAGAAUGGACAGCCAGACAGCAUCAUCCCGUGAGGGGAGGGGUCGAGCCAGCCUUCUGCUGUGAUUGGAUGACACCAGGUGGUCUUAUCAUUUCCCAAGUGUGCCAUCUUGCUGCUGGUGCCUUGACCACACAUGACUGAUGGUUACAACUCAAGGCUCCAGAUAAACAACGAAGGUGCUGCCCUUCUGGGCAUGUGCACUCAGAAUUGCUCGGCUCCACUGUUGCAGUCACAGGAAGGUGCCCCCACAGGCAGUUGGGAGGUGACUCCUGUGCCACCAGUCUCUCCGUGGAGGACAUGCAGGGCCAGCUACAGAGCAAUGGAGAGGAAUCGGGCCUGUGAGGGGGUUGGGUGGUGGAAGAAAAGCUCUUCUCAGUGUGGCUGGAAAGCAGUAGCCCCUGGCAACCUGGGCACCCUCCCUCCCAGGAGCCUGAGGGCCCCAGCAGGGUAGCUGCGGGGACUGCCUGAGGAUUUUUUAUUUUGGUUUGGUUUUUCUCUGGGGUUAGCAACCUGAGCCAAUAUUGUGUCUGUUCCAAUUGGGUAUAAAGAGGAAAGCCUGGAUCACUUAAACUGACUGGUUCGUUCCAGGUCAUAAUUUUAAAUUAAAGAAAUAUCACUUUUUUUUAAA